ACUACUGUAUUAAAUAAAAAAAAGUUUUGACCAUUGAUUAUAUUUUAAUCGAAAGGCUAUAAAUCAUUCUUUUGUGAAUCCUCCACUUUCUUUCUGAUUGGUCAAUCUAUCAAAACUAAGAUUGUCAUUUCUGGCCAUUGAUAUAUUUAAUCCUAUGGUCUAGAAUCAAUUUGUUCUAUUAUGUUUCUUAAUUCAACUCUCUCUCUCUCUCGCUAAGUUAGAAGAAACACAAAAGUAAAUUGUAUUAGAUUCAACCCUCACUCUCUCUCGACCAUGAUUAAAGCCUCAUCAACGAAACUUGACGCGAGUCAGAAGGAAGAAGACCUGCGGCGGAUAUGGUGAAGAGAACACACGGCGGAGACGGCGAAGCGCAUGAGCUGCGGCGGGGAAGGUUCGACAGACUCGCCUUUGGUCAAGCUCUGCGUUGGCUUCACCUCCCCACUACCACAGAUCUGAGAAUAUAAUGAUGAAAUGGGAAGGAGAAGUGGGGCGUGGUAGUGGAAUGGUGGUGCGGCGGUGCCAGCGACUGUAGGGGCAGUGCAAGCUAGGUUUAGAUUUUGAGGGUCUUUUUGGUUUAGUUUGAUUGAUUGGUUUAAAUUUUGUAAACCAGUUCAAAUUUGUAAACUAAUUACGAUAUAUAAAAGUGUAUUAGUUUCUAA